CCUACGGGGGGCAGCAGUGAGGAAUAUUGGACAAUGGGCGAGAGCCUGAACCAGCCAAGCCGCGUGAAGGAUGAAGGAUCUAUGGUUUGUAAACUUCUUUUAUAUGGGAAUAAAGUGAGGAACGUGUUCCUUUUUGUAUGUACCAUAUGAAUAAGCAUCGGCUAACUACGUGCCAGCAGCCGCGGUAAUACGGUGGAUGAGAGCGUUAUCCGGAUUUAUUGGGUGUAAAGGGUGCGUAGGUGGUUAAUUAAGUCAGCGGUGAAAGGUUGUGGCUCAACCAUAAAAUGGCCGUUGAUACUGGUGGACUAGAGUAUAGGAGGGGUAAGCGGAAUGCGGGGUGGAGCAGUGAAAUGCGUAGAUAUCACGCGGAACACCGGUUGCGAAGGCAGCUUACUGGACUAUAACUGACGCUGAGGCACGAAGGCGUGGGGAUCAAACAGGAUUAGAUACCCGAGUAGUC
rnacentral:rRNA from 1 species